UUGAACGCUGGCGGCAUGCUUUACACAUGCAAGUCGAACGGUAACAGGGAGCUUGCUCCGCUGACGAGUGGCGAACGGGUGAGUAAUGCAUCGGAACGUGCCUAUUUGUGGGGGAUAACGUAGCGAAAGUUACGCUAAUACCGCAUACGCCCUGAGGGGGAAAGCGGGGGAUCGCAAGACCUCGCGCGGACGGAGCGGCCGAUGGCAGAUUAGGUAGUUGGUGGGAUAAAAGCUUACCAAGCCGACGAUCUGUAGCUGGUCUGAGAGGACGACCAGCCACACUGGGACUGAGACACGGCCCAGACUCCUACGGGAGGCAGCAGUGGGGAAUUUUGGACAAUGGGCGAAAGCCUGAUCCAGCCAUGCCGCGUGCAGGAUGAAGGCCUUCGGGUUGUAAACUGCUUUUGUACGGAACGAAAAAGUCUUCUCUAAUACAGGGGGCGAAUGACGGUACCGUAAGAAUAAGCACCGGCUAACUACGU
rnacentral:rRNA from 1 species